GAUGAAGAACGUAGUGAAAUGCGAUAAGUAAUGUGAAUUGCAGAAUUCAGUGAAUCAUCGAAUCUUUGAACGCACAUUGCGCCUAUUAGUAUUCUAGUAGGCAUGCCUGUUCGAGCGUCAUUAAGUCCACAUUAAGCCUCGUUGCUUAGCGUUGGGAAUUUAUAGAGAUAUAAUUCCUUAAAGUUAGUGGCAGAAGUGAAUCACACUCUGAGCGUAGUAAUUUUUUAUCUCGCUUUUGCAGUCGGUUCGCUUGUCGCCGUUAAACACCCCCUUUUUAAUGGUUGACCUCGGAUCAGGUAGGAAUACCCGCUGAACUUAAGCAUAUCAAUAAGCGGAGGA
rnacentral:misc_RNA from 1 species